rnacentral:tRNA from 1 species
AGGGCUAUAGCUCAGUUGGUAGAGCACCUCGUUAUCGAGAAGGUCUACGGUUCGAGUCCGUAUAGCCCUA